rnacentral:rRNA from 1 species
CUACGGAGGGUCCGAGCGUUAAUCGGAAUUACUGGGCGUAAAGCGCGCGUAGGCGGAUUAAAAAGUUAGAGGUGAAAUCCCAGGGCUUAACCCUGGAACUGCCUUUAAAACUAGUAGUCUAGAGUUCGAGAGAGGUGAGUGGAAUUCCAAGUGUAGAGGUGAAAUUCGUAGAUAUUUGGAGGAACACCAGUGGCGAAGGCGGCUCACUGGCUCGAUACUGACACUGAGGUGCGAAAGCGUGGGGAGCAAACAGGAUUAGAAACCCCGGUAGUCC